UCAUUUAAAGAUGUGACUGUGGGCUUCACCCAGGAGGAGUGGCAGCACCUGGACCCUAGUCAGAGGGCUCUGUAUAGAGAUGUGAUGCUGGAGAACUGCAGCAACCUUGUCUCAGUGGGGUAUUGUGUUCACAAACCAGAGGUGAUCUUCAGGCUGGAACAAGGAGAAGAGCCAUGGAGACUGGAGGAAGAAUUCCCAAGCCAGAGGUUUCCAGAAGUCUGGACAGCUGGUCACCUGAAAGAGAGGAGCCAAGAAAACCAAUCUAAAUAUUUGUGGGCAGUUGUAUUCAUCAAUAAUGAAAUGCUGACUAAGGAACAAGGUAAUGUAAUAGGAAUACCAUUUAACGUGGACGUAAGUUCUUUUCCUUCCAGAAUAAUGUUCUGUCAGUGUGACUCAUGUGGAAUGAGUUUCAACACUGUUUCACAAUUGGUUAACAGUAAGAUGAACUAUUUAGGAAAAAAGUCUGAUGAAUUUAAUGCCUUUGGGAAGUUGGUACUCAAUAUUAAGUAAGCAUGAUGAAACUUAUACUCGAGAGAAAAAUGAAGUUUUGAAAAAUAGGAACACUUUGAGUCAUCAUGAGAACACUUUGCAGCAUGAGAAGAUUCAAACUUUAGAGCACAAUUUUGAAUACAGUGUAUGUCAGGAAACCCUCAUUGAAAAGGCAGUAUUCAAUACACAAAAGAGAGAGAAUGCAGAAGAGAAUAACUAUGAAUAUAAUGAAUUUGGGAGAACUUUCUGUGAUGGAUCAUCCCUCUUGUUCCAUCAGAUACCUCCAUCAAAGGACAAUCACUAUGAAUUUAGUGAUUGUAAGAAGUUCUUAUGUGUGAAGUCCACCCUUUGUAAACAUCAUGGGGUAUCCACGAAACACUAUGAUUGUGGUGAAAGUGGGAAUAAUUUCAGGAGGAAAUUGUGUCCGUCACACAAUUGUGUGAUAAAGGGGAGGUGAUAAAGGAGAGAAACACUUUGAGUGUAAUGAAUGUGGGAAAGUUUUCUGGGAGAAGUCACAUCUCACUCGACAUCAGAGGAUGCACACAGGAGAGAAACGCUUCCAAUGUAAUGAAUGUGGAAAAACGUUCUGGGAUAAGUCAAACCUCACUAAACAUCAGAGAUCACACACAGGGGAGAAACCUUUUGAAUGCAAUGAAUGUGGGAAAGCCUUUAGCCAUAAGUCAGCUCUCACAUUACGCCAGAGAACACAUACAGGGGAGAAACCCUAUCAGUGUAAUGAGUGUGGGAAAACUUUUUACCAGAAAUCUGAUCUCACUAAACAUCAGAGAACACAUACAGGGCUGAACCCCUGUGAAUGUUAUGAAUGUGGAAAAUCCUUCUGUAUGAAUUUGCACCUUACGGUACACCAGAGAACUCACACAGGUGAGAAACAUUUUGACUGUCUUGAGUGUGGGAAAUCCUUUUGUCAAAAGUCACAUCUUACACAACAUCAGAGAACUCACAUAGGAGAUAAACCUUAUGAAUGUAAUGCAUGUGGGAAAACUUUCUACCACAAGUCAGUGCUCACCAGGCAUCAGAUAAUUCAUACAGGGUUGAAACCUUAUGAAUGUUAUGAAUGUGGGAAAACCUUCUGCUUGAAGUCAGACCUAACAGUACAUCAGAGAACACACACAGGUGAGAAACUCUUUGCAUGUCCUGAAUGUGGGAAAUUCUUUAGCCAUAAGUCAACCCUCUCUCAACAUGAUAGAACACACACAGGGGAGAAACCCUAUGAAUGUCAUGAACGUGGAAAAAUAUUUUACAAUAAAUCAUACCUAACUAAACAUAAUAGAACACAUACAGGGGAGAAACCCUAUGAAUGUAAUGAAUGUGGGAAAACCUUCUGCCAGAAGUCACAACUCACUCAGCAUCAGAGAAUUCACAUAGGGGAGAAACCCUAUGAAUGUAAUGAGUGUGGAAAAGCUUUCUGCCAUAAGUCAGCUCUCAUUGUACAUCAGAGAACCCAUACACAAGAAAAGCCCUAUAAAUGUAACGAAUGUGGAAAAUCUUUCUGUGUGAAGUCAGGACUUAUUUUACAUGAGAGAAAGCACACAGGGGAGAAACCCUAUGAAUGCAGUGAAUGUGGGAAAUCCUUCAGUCACAAAUCGUCACUCACAGUACAUCACAGGGCUCACACAGGAGAGGAAUCUUGUCAAUGUAAUGAAUGUGGAAAAAUCUUUUACCGUAAAUCAGACCUUGCUAAACAUCAGAGAUCACAAACAGGGGAAAAGCCCUAUGAAUGUAACACAUGCAGGAAAACUUUCUCUCAAAAGUCAAAUCUCAUUGUACAUCAGAGAACACACAUAGGAGAAAAGCCUUAUGAAUGAAAUGGAUAUUAGAAAUUUCCAGCCACAAGUGAGCCUCCAUAAUGCCUCAGAUUAUUCACACUGUGGAGAAAGCCCUGUUGACAUCCUGAAUGUACAAUAACUAUCCACAAACUCGCCUUUUGUUACUCCAAAGUAACAGUAGGGGAUAAACCCAAGACUACAACAAUUAUAGGACAGCUUUUGUUAGGAAGUGAUAUUCUGUUGAAUAUUAGAUGAUUAAUACUGGCAUAAAACCUCAUAGAUUUUUUUGAAUUUGAGAAAGUUUUUGGCAAAAAUACAAACAAGAUUAUGUUUGAGUUUGCAUCGAGGAGAAAAUUGUCAAUUUAAGAAAUCUAAAGUGAAAAUUUUGCUUAGAAACACAAUAUGACAAAUUCUGUUUUGAGUUUGAUGCCAUAAUAGUUUUUAGGGCAUCUAACAAUAAUUUAUAGAUGUAUAUUGUGGAAUGUAAAACUUUAAGAACUUAAAAAAAGUAAUAAUUAAAAUAACCUCACAAGAAGUUGUAAUGAGUACAGAGAAUUCCCAUGUACACUUCACCAAACUUCCUCUAAGGAUAAUAUAUAAUCAUGGUAUAUGAUCAAGUCCAAGAAAUCGAUGUUACCUUGCUAGUAGAUACAGACUUAACUCAGAUUUUACUAUGGUUUGUGUGCACUGUGUGUGUGUAUGUGUGUGUGGUUAUGUGAAACUUUUACCACUUUUACAUUUGAGUAACCAUCAGCACAAUUACUUUACAGAACUGAAAAGGAAUCUGAGAUCUGUAUUGUAUCAGGAUUACAAAGGAAUCAGAAUUUAGCCUCAAGUAGUUCCCUUCUUGUGUUAAUAAGCACGUCCUUUCUGCAACCCUAUCCCUUGCAUCCACUUGACUAUGAAGCUUCUUUUAAAGCACAAAUUGAAUAAUCAGGGCAAUAGCAUUAAACACAUCUGUGAAUUAUCCCUGAAGUUCAUAGGACUUACAUAUGUACAAGUGGUAUGUGAUAUAAAUCGUUUCAUAUGCAUAGUGGAAUUUAACCUAAUUGUGAAUAGGAAGUAGGUAUCCUAAUUUAGUGGUUGUUAUAUCAUCAGGCCCAUACCAGAUGUUUGUUAUGUCUUGAAACAGUUUAAAAGGAGACCACAGAGCUAAUAUUUAUCCAUUUAAAAGUUAUAAAUCAAAAAAACAAAUUAUCUAAAAAA